rnacentral:rRNA from 1 species
UACAGAGGUGGCAAGCGUUGUUCGGAAUUACUGGGCGUAAAGCGUGCGCAGGCGGUGCUGUGAAGACCGAUGUGAAAUCCCCGGGCUUAACCUGGGAACUGCAUUGGUGACUGCAGCGCUGGAGUAUGGCAGAGGGGGGUGGAAUUCCACGGUGUAAGCAGUGAAAUGCGUAGAGAUGUGGGAGGAACACCGAUGGACGAAGGCAGCCCCCUGGGCCAAUGACUGACGCUCGAUGCACGAAAGCGUGGGGGAGCAAACAGG